rnacentral:rRNA from 1 species
GCGUGAGUGAAGAAGGCCCUUGGGUUGUAAAGCUCUUUCGUCGGGGAAGAAAAUGACUGUACCCGAAUAAGAAGGUCCGGCUAACUUCGUGCCAGCAGCCGCGGUAAUACGAAGGGACCUAGCGUAGUUCGGAAUUACUGGGCUUAAAGAGUUCGUAGGUGGUUAAAAAAGUUGGUGGUGAAAUCCCAGAGCUUAACUCUGGAACUGCCAUCAAAACUUUUUAGCUAGAGUAUGAUAGAGGAAAGCAGAAUUUCUAGUGUAGAGGUGAAAUUCGUAGAUAUUAGAAAGAAUACCAAUUGCGAAGGCAGCUUUCUGGAUCAUUACUGACACUGAGGAACGAAAGCAUGGGUAGCGAAGAGGAUUAGAUACCCUCGUAGUCCAUGCCGUAAACGAUGUGUGUUAGACGUUGGAAAUUUAUUUUCAGUGUCGCA